rnacentral:rRNA from 1 species
UAGAGAGACUGCCGGUGACAAACCGGAGGAAGGUGGGGAGACGUCAAGUCAGCAUGCCCCUUACGUUCUGGGCUACACACGUACUACAAUGUACGGACAAAGGGUAGCAAGCAUGCGAAUGCAAGCCAAUCCCAUAAACCGUGGCUCAGUUCAGAUUGCAGGCUGCAACUCGCCUGCAUGAAGGCGGAAUCGCUAGUAAUCGCAGGUCAGCACUACUGCGGUGAAUACGUUCCCGGGCCUUGUACACACCGCCCGUCACACCAUGGAAGCUGGCUUAGCCCGAAGUCGUUACCCUAACCGCAAGGAGGGGGAUGCCGAAGGCAGGGCUGGUGACUGGGGUGAAGUCGUAACAAGGUAACC